CUCUCUUUGUAAUUUAAUUAAUUAAUUAAGGAGUUGGGCCUGCUCGGUGAAAAUUUUAACAGCUGCGGUAUUUUAACUGUACUAAGGUAGCAUAAUAAUUUGCCUUAUAAUUUGAGGCUAGAAUGAAUGGUUUGACGAAGGUUAAUCUGUCUCUAUUUUAUUUCUUAGAAAUUAAUUUUCAUAGUGAAAAAGCUUGAAUUCUUUAAAGGGACGAGAAGACCCUACUGAGCUUAUAAUUUUACUAUUAUUAUAACUAUGUAUUGUCAUAGUAAUAUAUAAAUUUUAAUUGGGGUGAUUAAGGAAUAAAGUAUAUUAGUUAGUAACUUCCUUAGUAGGAUAUAUUGGUGAAUAAAGAACCGAUAUUACGUAUAGAACCGAUAUUGCUUAUAAUAUAGGUACCAUAGGGAUUACAGGCGUAUUUAUUUAAAGAGGUUUUAUUGGAAAAUUAAGAUUGCGACCUCGAUGUGGGAUUAAAGUACCCUUAAGGUGCAGAAGCUUUAAUAGGUAAAUCUGUUCGAUUUUUAAAACUUU
rnacentral:rRNA from 1 species